rnacentral:rRNA from 1 species
GACAGAGGGUGCAAACGUUGCUCGGAAUUACUGGGCGUAAAGCGCGUGUAGGCGGGCCCCCAAGUCGGACGUGAAAGCCCCGAGCUCAACUCGGGAACUGCAUCCGAAACUGAGGGCCUUGAGUGAUGGAGAGGGAAGCAGAAUUCCUGGUGUAGAGGUGAAAUUCGUAGAUAUCAGGAGGAACACCGGUGGCGAAGGCGGCUUCCUGGACAUUGACUGACGCUGGGGAGCGAAAGCCAGGGGAGCAAACGGGG